GAAAUUGGGCUGGGUCUAGUGACGAUUGGCGGUGGUUAUGUGAGCAUUUUGGAAGUGAGGCAUUUCAGGUAUGUCUAGUAUUUCAAGUUAUUUUAAUUUUGUUAUGUCCUUUAUUGGUUAUAAUUAUAUGUAUUUUGUAGCGAUGAUCGGAGGCGAAUAAGGUGAAUAGGAGUAAGAUUGAUUCUAUUCACAUGCAAGGAAGUGCCUCUUUUGCACAGAGAAUGAAGAGGAUGAGACUAUCCGGAGUCGACGCCUAUGCUAAAUUCUAUCAAAACAAGAGUGGCGAGUUCGUGACCGAGGAGGCGAGGCAGCAUCAUGAAAAAAUGUUAGAAUUGAGAGAGCAGGCGACGAGGGAGGUGGGAUCUGACGGUGAUACUGGAUCACAGCAGGUUUGUUUGAUGACAGAUGAUACGAUUUUGGAUACCAUCCU